CCAGACUCCUACGGGAGGCAGCAGUGAGGAAUAUUGGUCAAUGGGCGGAAGCCUGAACCAGCCAAGUCGCGUGAGGGAUUAAGGCCCUAUGGGUCGUAAACCUCUUUUGUCAGGGAGCAAAGGGCGCCACGUGUGGCGUUUUGCGAGUACCUGAAGAAAAAGCAUCGGCUAACUCCGUGCCAGCAGCCGCGGUAAUACGGAGGAUGCGAGCGUUAUCCGGAUUUAUUGGGUUUAAAGGGUGCGCAGGCGGAAUGUCAAGUCAGCGGUAAAAUUUCGGGGCUCAACCCCGUCGUGCCGUUGAAACUGGCGUUCUUGAGUGAGCGAGAAGUAUGCGGAAUGCGUGGUGUAGCGGUGAAAUGCAUAGAUAUCACGCAGAACUCCGAUUGCGAAGGCAGCAUACCGGCGCUCAACUGACGCUCAUGCACGAAAGCGUGGGUAUCGAACAGGAUUAGAUACCCUUGUA
rnacentral:rRNA from 1 species